GACAAGGUGGCUGAAUGGAUUAAAGCAGCAGAUUGCAAAUCUGUUUUUUGCAGGUUCAAAUCCUGUCCUUGUCU
rnacentral:tRNA from 1 species